rnacentral:sRNA from 20 species
AAAGGGUCCGCCUGGGUAGUACGGACCCUGCACUCAGAGGGUUGGCGGCGGGAGGGGUCUCGCCGCC